rnacentral:rRNA from 1 species
CUUGGUGGUUAUAGCGUGGGUGAAACACUCGAUCCCAUUCCGAACUCGGAAGUGAAACCCCACAGCGCCAAUGGUACUUUGCUUUUAAGCACGGGAGAGUAGGUCGCUGCCAAGC